CCAUCCAAUAUCUGACUGAGCAUCAA
rnacentral:misc_RNA from 1 species